UUCAGGCUGACUACUCAAAGGGGUUGUUAUUUUACUCUCUAAUCAACUGUCUUCCUCUAUACACUACUGCUAAUCCUCUUUCACUUCUCCCUUUCCUUCAAGCCAUCGCCUCUCUAGGGUUCCUUUCAUCUCCUUUCAAAGUUUCCUCUUCCCCCUUAUUCCAUUUUUCUCUUCACACGAAAUUCACUCCUUUUUUUAUUUAUCCAUUAAAAUUUAAUUCACAUUUAUAUAUAUUUCCAUCCAUGUAAUUACUCAUUAGAUUUCACAAUGAGGAUUUCUUGGUUUCUUAAGAGUCAAUUGCCUUGAUAUAGUUCCUUCAAAUUAUCCGAUCGGCUGUUUGUUGUUACUCUUUGAGAGAAAUUGAAGAAAAUAUUGAUUUGGGUAUUAUUUGUUUGUUAAAUCUGAGAAAAGAAUUAUUACUAUGGCUUCUACAGUACCGGCGAAGUCGAAUAAUCCACUUCAUAACUUCGAUUUUUCCCACUUGAAAUGGAAGAAGAAUCAUCAUUCGAACAAUCACCAACGCCGCCGCUCCAACAAGCUGUCGUCGGACUCUUCCUCUCCGUCACGGCACGAUUCGCCGCUAAGACACUCUCAGUCCCAGUCCCCCAUGCGUGAAUCCCUCGCGGCGGCACGUCAGUCUCCAAUAAGUGAAUCUGCUGCGACGGCGCGUCAAUCGCCGAUGCACAAUUCGGCUGCGGCGGCGCGUCACUCUCCGAUGCGCGAUUCUGCUGCGGCUGCUCGCCGGUCUCCGAUGCAUGAACCUAUAGCGGGGUUUCGCCGGUCUCCGAUGCACGAUUCUGCUACGGCGCGUCAGUCUCCGAUGCGUGAUCCCGUUCCGUCGGUUCAACAAUCAAAGCAUAAGGUAACAGAGAUUAAUGCUGUCAGUAGCAAAGAAAGCAGAUCCAAAAUCUUAAUCAAAAUCCCUCGCAAAAACAAAUCUGAAGAAAUUCAAAUUAGCGAGGAUCAAAAUCAAAAGGAGGCAGACGAAUCACACGACGAAGCUGCAGCAGCUGAAGAAACAGCACAAAAAACGUGGAAUCUGAGACCUCGAAAACCAAUACAUAAAUCACUGAAUAUAAACGGAGGAGUUCCAUUUCGAUCCAGUGGAUCCGCGAUGCAGGAGAUCAAAUCUCAAUCACCUCAUCAGAUUAUGAACAUGAACAAGCCGGAAAAUAAUGAAACCCAUGCUGCUUCUGCUCAGAAGAAGGAAAAAAGACAAAGGUUUUCCAUGGCCUUAUCCAGAGAAGAGAUCGAUGAAGAUAUAUAUGCUAUGACUGGAUUAAAAGCUGCUAGAAGACCUAAGAAGAGAGUUAAAGCUGUUCAGAAACAACUUGAUACACUCUUCCCUGGUUUAUGGCUUGCUUCAAUAACUCCUGAUUCAUAUAAAGUUUGUGAAAAUCUUCCAAAGGGUUAGAAGAAAUUCUUCAAAGAUGGUUUGUCCUUCGAAUGUCCUUGGUUUUUGUGGAAGUUUGAAGGUGAAGGCUUCCAAAUUUUAUGAUUUGCAUUUGGAGGAUGAAAAUGAUGCAAAAUUCUUAAGGGGUGAUAUGUGAUCUUAAUUCGAUCAAUAAUGGACAAAUGGUAACCUACUUUAGAAUAAAGCACACAAAACCUUCUAACAUCAUCUAUUAUGAUCCUCCUUUGAACUAACUUUGUUUUUGCUAUCCUUUAGUUAGGAUAUAGAUUAGAAGUCACACCUCAAUGAUCAUGCAUAAAGUUUGGGAUGCCAAACUCAAUUUGUAUCUUUUUGCAUAUCAAUGAUAAAUGGUGACUGUUUAAUAAAUAAAAAAAAGUUUCAUAAAGGACAUUUGAUUUUGUUCUAAAUGAAAUUUUGUUGUGCUUUUGGAUUUUAAGUUCAGAAAUAGUAUUUUCAGCCUUGUAACGGUAACUGUUAGAAAUGUUAUCGGACGCAAUUCUCUUCUCCCAAAUGCAUUAUCUGAUUGGGAGGCUGGCAAUUGGCUAAGCUGAUAUGUGGAGGAGCUGCCAUUUUGACAUUAACUAUCCCACUAAAUACAAGCUAUCUUGUCACUAUAUACCUGUUGAAGUAGGUCAGUGGGAGGUAAUAUGUCAUACGUAUAUAUAAUUAUUUGAUGAAUGUACACAAGCAGAAAGGUUUCAUUACUUUUUCACUGCUGCAUUUUUGGACUUCUCAACUAACCCAUGGUUUUAGACAGCCUUAAACUGACCUGGUUUGGCUGAAUUAAGUGGACAAGUUGUGAAGCGGAAGAACAUGUCCAGGUUCAACUUUGUGCAUCUUCUCAUAAUAGAGUUUGCUGCACAUCAUAGAGCUUAUAAUUUCUUUCCCUGCUUCCUGAUCAUAGGCGAGGAACCUGAACAUUUGGCUUGCAACACAAUGUGCUGCUUUAUUAGAAGUCAUUACUUCAUCGCUUAAGGAGAUGCGACACGAUUAUUGCUUCAUGGUGAAGCUAUGCGCUUUAGGGAAGUGUGCGCUGCUUCAAACAUGAGGCACAAAGUAAUCCGAACAAGCUAUUAGUACUUUGAAUCUCAACUGUGAGGAGUUGGAUUAGUAUUGACAUUAUUAUAUAUUAGGCAUUAGAUGCUGAAAUUAGUUAUUUACUUACAAUUUAUUGAUUAUUGUUUUACUAAAUUCAUAUAUGUUUGACAUAAUUUAAUUUUCUGUAAAUUGUGCAUUUCACUUCAAUGAAGCGUGUGCUUAGGUUCA